UGGGUGUGAAUCCAGAUGGUCCCUGGAAUACAGCCAGUAAGAACCUACUCCAAGCAUCUUCCAUUAUCAUUCCCACUUGGAUAAACAGGAAGGAGCCUCUUGACUUUGGACACAUGGAAUCAUCAACCCAAAACAAAGACUUGACCAUGGUGAUCUGAAAAGCAGGAAAUGUAUAUUUACUACGAAUGGGCAAGGCGUGUGGUUUUUUCAGUGAAUGGAGGGCCAAGAAGACUAAAUGGCAUGGAUUUCUAAACAGAUAGGGUCCUCCUCUGAGUGAGACCAUUCACCGGGACGCGAAUGCAUCGUCAUCCUUCUACUGGCUGGGUCCUGGGCAUACAGAGAGACCCUCAGGGACACGUCUCUCCGGAAAUCGACAGUCCAGGGAGGAGCCUCUUGAAGAAGUAAAAACCAUACCCAAGGAGAAGACCUAAGAUGAUAAUGAGACAUGCUUUGCCUGAGGACCCAUGAUGGAGAGCACCCUCUACAUGAGAUGACAUCAGGAGUCGGGACCUUCCUCACCUUAGGAACAAAAGAAACGAAACCUUGGGCUUCUUGCUUCUGGCGUCUUGUUUGAGCCAGCCUGGGAACUCUUACUUGUGCUGGAGCCUACGAAGGGAAAACCUUGCUCCUGUGCAGUUGUGUUCCGAUUCUUUUUGGAAAAGUCAAGUACCAGAAUGGGCUGAUAACGGUGCUAGCCAUAGGUUCCUGGCCCUGUUUGGGGGCCGGUGGAUUCCUCAGCCACUGCCUAACACAGCUGAGAGCUGCGCCAGGCUCUCAGGAGUGAAAAGGAAGCACUCCUCAGAGGCACACCCGCUGCGCCUUUUCCCAAGCGGCUUCCCAGGUAUUGACUUGUGCUAACAAGGAAAGGGAAAUUUCUUAGUGUAAGUUUCCAUUUACCAACUUCAAACAGCACAAGCUUGCUCAAUCUUGAAGCCUAAACGAAUGCUUUACAGAUAAUCAGUGUUCUCACUUAAUUCCUGAGAUUCUUUCUUGCAUUCCAAACAUAGCUAGCCUACAUUGGCACCCAAGAGACCGUUUGCAGAAGGAAAAUGAAUAUGUAGCAACCUGUAUUUCUUUCCACUGAAUGUUCCAAACAUAUUACGUUUUUCAAAAUCAAAUUAUCAGAUAUUUUCAAGAAGCUUGGGAUCAUCUCAUAUUGCUGGAAAGAUUUAGCUUCAAAAAGCAGAAAAAGUUAAAAAAAAAAAAAAAAGAACUUAAAUACUGUUUUCAGGUUUUUUUAUGAGCCAGGAACAACCUGGAAGUGAAUGGAGACCUUCAGCCUCUGGUCAGCUGUGAGGACAGACCACCCUGAAGGGUGUGCUGGUACAGUGCUCUCUGUGGCAUGUCAUUUCCUAAUUUCUGUGUAACGUUUCACGUUCAUCUUCCAAGGAUGCAGAGAUAGCCAGGUCAACAAUAUAAUGAAACCCAGCUGAAAUGGAGGCGUAAUGCUGCCAGGACUCUCCUUCAGCCUGUUUUGUUUGUGCAUAAGAGCAGUCAGCCUCUCCCAUUGCUGAGCAGUUCUCUCUGUAUUUGGAUAAACCCUGGUCCCCAGCAGUACUUGAGUUUGACCUCUUACCGCUUCUCCCCUCAGAGAUGGACUGACUGACUGAGGUGUGCGUGUCUCCUCACGCCCAGAAGUCCUUGGACAGAAAACUCAUUGAUUCAGUGUGAGACCCAAGCUAUGACCAGGGAAAACCAAAAUAUUUUGAAUAAUGGAGUCGGGAAGUAGCCAGUGUUUACAAUCCUCAGUGCUCUUAUAUGGCACCAAGGAUUCAUCGAAGAAUUUUAAGCAGGAUUUUGGCAGAAUCAGAUGUAUUUUAAUAAGCACAUAAUAACUGAAAGCAACAAAUUGGAGCGGGAACUUGCAUCAGCUGGUAAACUUGAAUGUUUUCCCUGGGCACGUCUGUGCCUCACAGAAGAUUAAAGCACAGAGCAGCAAGGAUGUGGGUCCCAAUCUCAGUUUGGGGCCACGAGUCAUGUGUCCUGCUGCUUUUCAUCAGAUGGGCAGAACCUAGUGGGACACACUUAUUCCUAAUCCCCAGGGGGAAAGAGGUUCUGCUCCCAAGAAGACCCUUUUCUGCCAUCAGUGUUCUCACUCAAUUCCUGAGAUUCUUCCUUGCAUUCCAAACAUAGCUAGCCUACAUUGGCACCCAAGAGACAGUUUGCAGAAGGAAAAUGAAUAUGUAACAACCUGUAUUUCUUUCCAGGAGGAUUCUGCUCCCAAGAGACCCUUUACUGCUAUCUGUACUCCUGGCUGUAUGUGAGAAGUUGUGUGUGAGGGAUUUGGGUCGGACUAGCUUCCUUCCUAGAGUGAGGAAAACCGUUUUCAAUUGCACAUGUGGGAACUGCUACGGGGGUGUCUGGAUUUAAAAGACUCCUGUUGGAAACUGCUUGUGCACCUCUUUCCAGAUUGGCCACCUGAAGACUAAAAUCAUUUGUUGGCUGUGUAACUGCUGCAAGUGAGUGUGCUCACUGCUUCCUUCUCAGACUUUGCUUGCUGUUUCUUACCAAUGGCUCACACCUAGCACCCUGGGAAGAGGACUGAAUCAUCUGUGUGCUUGCUGAGCCAGGCAGGCUUCUUUCCUCCCUGUCACUGAGAACUGACAUUCCAUCAUCACCUUGCGACUUUCCUCCUUUAUGAGCAAUCAACUUUGGCAACUUUUGACCUCUUAGUUAACUACAUACUGUAAAGUGUGGAUCCCACUCAGACCAGAAAAACAGCCAAGUAAGCUCAUGGUGCCUAGGUUUCUGGCUUUUGUCCUCCCAUUUCUGAAGGGAGAAAAAAGCUAAAAAAAUUAAUUAAUUAAUUAA